ACGCUCGACACCUAGGAGGCAGCAGUGGGGAAUAUUGCACAAUGGGGGAAACCCUGAUGCAGCGACGCCGCGUGAGCGAAGAAGUAUUUCGGUAUGUAAAGCUCUAUCAGCAGGGAANAAACUGACGGUACCUGACUAAGAAGCACCGGCUAAAUACGUGCCAGCAGCCGACGGUUAAUCUGGAGGCGGGCUGGACAAGGC
rnacentral:rRNA from 1 species